ensembl:lncRNA
CUUCAAGAGGAUGGUUUGAAAGAGAGCGAAAAUACUGCUUUGUCAGUUCUGAACAUUUCUGUCAGUAAAGGCUGCAUCUCAAGUAAAGUAGCACUACAGAUCAUGGAAAAGCAGAACCUUCUUGGUGGUUUCUAUGAUGCAGCAGUUGGAAGAACCAUUAGCAUUUGUGAUGCUUUAGAGACGGGUAUGAUUACUGAUGAUAUCAGCAGAAGCGUUCUCUCUUCAGAGGCAAUCAGGAAGUCCAUCAUUGAUCCAGGGGGAAAGUGUGUGCUCGGUGUAUAUGAUGCCAACAAGUCUGGGAUGUUGGAUGAUAAAGAGGCUGAGAGAAUGCUACAUUCACAGCGGAAUGAAAGGGAAGACAUCAGGGUGCCUGAUUUAGCAAAAAGAGGACAAAUAAGCUUGAGAUCAGAUGAAGCCACACAGGUAUUUACUGACAUAGCAUGUGUGAGCAGUAGUCAGGAUCUUCUGUUACCCACCAUUUGUGGCAUGCCGUCUAAAGUCAUUUCAGCAAAAGACGAUAUGUUUGGUAAAGUUUCUGAAACUAAUGAAAUAGGGGAGGAUUAUGAUGUACGAUGUGGUAAUUUCAAGACUAUGGAUUUUAAAAAUGAGCUAGACACAACAGAUGAAAGAAAAGGAAGUUUCACUUUGGAAGGAAAUGAGAUAAAAAGGCCAAAUAACAGCAUAGACACUUUUCUUGUUGAUGUUUCAUGUGAAACUGUAAGUCCUUCACCAUGUAUCAGCCAGAUGGCAUGUCAAGAGACUACGGUGAGUCAUGUUGUUAACCCUGUACAGAGAGACUCUGGAAUAUCAUGUUCCUCACAAAGUGAUAUCUGCUCUGAAGAAAGGAAAUCAGAGAGAGUACUUAAUCCUGAACAGGAAUUCAACAGGUCCAAAGUGGAGUGUGAAACAGCAAAUGCAUGUUUUGACAAAGGCCUCUCUGAGAGCUUGAGCACUUCGCCACCAAUGGUGGAGGAUGUUGGAAAAGUUACAACACUUGAAGAAGCACAGUCCACCUCGUCUUUAUAUUGUGCAAGUGCCAAGUCACCAAUGGAGACUCCAGCAGAGUUGGAUUUAAGUACCGAUGAUCAGUCCACAUUAGCUCAGAAUUUAUCGAAUGAGAAAGUGCAUGCAUCAUAUAAAGUUGAAAAUGCCAAUAAUGUAAGUGAGGACCUAGAUCAUGAGCAUUCUGAUGAGGAUUCAGGUGUGUUUAGUUCAGAGAAUAGAGUACUAGAGACGAUUAAGUAUGAGGACAUGUCAGAAAUGUUCAGAAAUACACCAAAAAUAAAACCUGAGCCCAGAGUGGUCUGUACAGAAAGCAGUAUUGAUUGUAAGGUAGAAGAGAAUGAGGACAUUGAAGACUCUGUGGGUUUCAAAGGAUCCGAGGACACAUGUCAGCUCAGUUUGAUAGAUUUAGCUGGAUCAACAGUAAAUUCCAAGCAGUUGCCACUUGAAAUUGUUACUAAUUCUAGUCAAGUUGAUUCAAAUGGAGGUAAUCAUAACAUACAGAACCCAAGUGAGCAAGCCAUAUUUUGUAAUCAUGUAGCCCCAAAGGCCACUACAAAAGGUGAGUUAGCCAGGUCAUCUGAAUCAGACUUUACAAGUGAUGAUAAACAAGUAAAAGAUGUGGUAGAAAUGCUAGAGUCAUCCUCUGGUAAGUCUUCAGAGGAUAUGUUCACAGAAUCCAAUGAAUUGCAGUCUGCCCGCCAAAUUCAAAGUCCUUCCGUCAAAAUCAUGCUUGAUCAGAAUAGCGAACAAAGUGCAGACAUCUUCAACCAGUCUCAAGCUGGAGAUACAGUAGUUGCUGAAGGUGUACACCAGGAUGACCUUCAUUUUCCUCACAUGGUGAUGGCCGAAGAUGCAAGUUUACCAAAGUCAAUGGGAAGCAGUGAUUUAAAGUCUUUUUUGAAUGCAUUAAUCCAGAUGAAGAUGGAUGGAGCAAGUAUGGACAAGACUCAAAAACAAAAAUGCCAAGCCA